GCUUUACUGUAGCCUGGUAUUGGGUUCGGGCUCUGAUUGCGCAGGAUAGGUGGGAGGCUAAGAGAGUGCCCUUGUGGGGGUGCUGGAGCCAACGGUGAGAUACCACUCUAUCAGAGCUAGAAUUCUAACCCUGUGCCGUGAUCCGGCUGGGGAACAGUAUCAGGUGGGCAGUUUGACUGGGGCGGUCGCCUCCUAAAAGGUAACGGAGGCGCGCAAAGGUUCUCUCAGGCUGGUUGGAAAUCAGCCGUAGAGUGUAAAGGCAGAAGAGAGCUUGACUGUGAGACCAACAAGUCGAACAGGGACGAAAGUCGGCCUUAGUGAUCCGACGGCACCGCGUGGAAGGGCCGUCGCUAAACGGAUAAAAGUUA
rnacentral:rRNA from 1 species